GGCGCGGUGGUGAAGAGGUAACACGACGGUCUGCAAAACCGUAAUGCGAGGGUUCGAAUCCCUCCCGCGCCU
rnacentral:tRNA from 1 species